UACGUAGGUGGUAAGCGUUAUCCGGAAUUAUUGAGCGUAAAGAGCGCCCAGGUGGUUGAGAAAGUCUGAUGUGAAAGCCCACGGCUUAACCGUGGAGGGUCAUUAGAAACUGCUCAACUUGAGUGCAGAAGAGGGAAGUGGAAUUCCAUGUGUAGCGGUGAAAUGCGUAGAGAUAUGGAGGAACACCAGUGGCGAAGGCGGCUUCCUGGUCUGUAACUGACACUGAGGCGCGAAAGCGUGGGGAGCAAACAGG
rnacentral:rRNA from 1 species